rnacentral:tRNA from 1 species
CAAAGGAUAGUUUAAUAUUAAAAUAUUAAUUUUGGAGAUUAAUGAUAAGAAUUUCUUUCCUUUGA